CCAACAAAUAAAAGAACAUUUAAAUUUUUAUUUAUGUAUUGGUCUCCUGCACAGCAAUGUGAAAUCUUAGUCCACAACCAGGGGUGGAACUUGCACCCUCUGCGUUUGAAACCCAGAACCCUAUCUACUGUACCACCAGGGAAGUCCUCUAGAAUACCGUUUUAAAAUGAUGUUCUUUUAAAAAAUAGGUUUGUAGGAUAAUUGACUCUGCUGAAGCCUGUGCCCUUUGCUGUUGCAAAGCCCACUGAUAAAGCGUUGGUAGCUUGAGACAAUGGUUUUAUGAAAUGGAAGACCACAGGAAUCUGGUUGCCUGACAUCCUCCUGACCACAACACCAAGUCCACAGGAACCCAGGAGCCUUGGCCACUAGGAGGAUGGAGCAAGUGCUGCCCAGCUGAAAUCUCCAGCUGGUUAGGAAGCUAAAGGUGUGGGGAAAUCAGCCGGGCUGCGGAGCUUGCUGGUUCUCACUGCUCUCCACGGCGUGCCCAGAGCUCUGUCGGUUGCUUUUCUCCAGGGGCAGCGAUAAAUUACAGAUGGGAGAGCAUAGGGGGUUUACUCACAGAACCAGGAGAGGUCAGCCAGGCUCCCUGCGCUUUUGGGGGAAAACAGAUGAAACACAUGGAUUAAGCGGGGCGUGACAGCUCAGCGGAACUUGAAGCAUGUUCUUUCCAUCCCCCGGAGACCAACACUGCUUCCCUCGGUCCUCCCAUCUCUUUCCCACUGAUGAUCUGCCACCGGGCGUCCUAAAUGGAGCCUGUUGUGGAUUGGUGUGAUAGCGGGGGUUUCAGGGGCGGGCAGGGGUUACUCCAUCCGGUUAACAUCAAGGGGAAAAGGGGCAGCGCUAAUGUGAGCAUUGCUCCUGGCCCUGCGCUCCGCAGCUGCGUGGGUGCUUGGAAGUGCGCGUGCCUACAGGGCCCGGAGGCUGCCUCUGCAGCCCCACUCUCCCCGACGCUGGACUGAGUGAGAAGGUGCUCUCCCUGGCUGAAUUCUUCUGGCCUUGUAUCCUGUUCAUGAUUCUGACAGUACUUCGUUUUCAAGAACCUCCCAGACACAGAGACAAUUGCUAUUUGCAACCCCGGGAUCUGCCCAGCCGGGGUGUGUUCCCCUUUGUCCAAGGCCUUCUUUGCAACACCGGGUCGAGGUGCAGGAACACAAGCUAUGAAGGGGCUAUGGAGCAGCGUUUUCGGCCACUCCGCGCCCUCACCUCCACUUGCGGACACCAGAUGGUCACGCAGCCUGCAGAGACCUCUCCCCACAUCCUGAGAACCACAGUACUUUUCAGAGCCUUGGACGCUGAUGAGCAGGAAAGAAGUCCAUCCCGGUGCUGGGCUCUGUCCUCGGACCUGCCCCCUCCACUCAGAGGCUCUCACUGUUUUCAUGUUGGUCCAGGAUGAAUUCAGUGGACUCCCAAAACCAUAAUUAAAAAUUUACUUCUGAUCACUUUUUGAGAAUUGUCUCAGAUUAUGAAUAUCUGAAAGCAAAAUUUAAAUCU